UACGUAGGGUGCAAGCGUUGUCCGGAAUUAUUGGGCGUAAAGAGCUCGUAGGCGGUUUGUCGCGUCUGCUGUGAAAACUGGGGGCUCAACCCCCCAGCCUGCAGUGGGUACGGGCAGACUAGAGUGCGGUAGGGGAGAUUGGAAUUCCUGGUGUAGCGGUGGAAUGCGCAGAUAUCAGGAGGAACACCGAUGGCGAAGGCAGAUCUCUGGGCCGUAACUGACGCUGAGGAGCGAAAGCAUGGGGAGCGAACAGG
rnacentral:rRNA from 1 species